rnacentral:rRNA from 1 species
CCUACGGGCGGCAGCAGUGGGGAAUAUUGGACAAUGGGCGAAAGCCUGAUCCAGCCAUGCCGCGUGUGUGAAGAAGGCCUUCGGGUUGUAAAGCACUUUCAGUGGGGAAGAAAGCCUUGGGGCUAAUACCCUCGAGGAAGGACAUCACCCACAGAAGAAGCACCGGCUAACUCCGUGCCAGCAGCCGCGGUAAUACGGAGGGUGCGAGCGUUAAUCGGAAUUACUGGGCGUAAAGCGCGCGUAGGCGGUCUGAUAAGCCGGUUGUGAAAGCCCCGGGCUCAACCUGGGAACGGCAUCCGGAACUGUCAGGCUAGAGUGCAGGAGAGGAAGGUAGAAUUCCCGGUGUAGCGGUGAAAUGCGUAGAGAUCGGGAGGAAUACCAGUGGCGAAGGCGGCCUUCUGGACUGACACUGACGCUGAGGUGCGAAAGCGUGAGUAGCAAACAGGAUUAGAUACCCGAGUAGUC